rnacentral:snRNA from 1 species
GUUGUGUUAUUUCUUGUC